UUUGUACGCGAAUUUAUUUAUUUGCAUAUUUAUUAUACUAAAAUUCUCAAGUUCGUUGCAAAAUUUAUACUCAAAUAACAGUCGUCGUUGCGAAAAUAAUUUUUGUAAGCUGGGAGUGUGGCGGCUCCUGUAAUCCGGCUACUCGGAGGCUGGUUAUGUAGGAGGGUCUGAGGUCGGGGGCACCUGCUGCUGCAGGGCUCACGUUGACUGGGCGUCCGCACUAAGCUCGCCAUCAAUAUGGGCACCCUGGAGGAGUCCGGGGUGACCAGGUUAGCUAAGGAGAGGCGAACCGGGCCAGAGGGGAAACCCAGCAGCCAAAAGUCUCCGUGGCGGGCAGUAGUGGGAUCGCGCCCACGAGUGGGACCGCAUCUGCAGCCUGGCUGAUAUGAUCCGACACAUAACUUUUG